UACGAAGGGGGCUAGCGUUGCUCGGAAUCACUGGGCGUAAAGGGCGCGUAGGCGGCCGAUUAAGUCGGGGGUGAAAGCCUGUGGCUCAACCACAGAAUUGCCUCGAUACUGGUUGGCUUGAGACCGGAAGAGGACAGCGGAACUGCGAGUGUAGAGGUGAAAUUCGUAGAUAUUCGCAAGAACACCAGUGGCGAAGGGCGGCUGUCUGGUCCGGUUCUGACGCUGAGGCGCGAAAGCGUGGGGAGCAAACAGGG
rnacentral:rRNA from 1 species